rnacentral:rRNA from 1 species
AAUACUUAGGAAUCUGCCCAUUAAUGGGGGACAACAGUUGGAAACGACUGCUAAUACCGCAUACGUCCUACGGGAGAAAGUGGGGGAUCUUCGGGCCUCACGCUAUCGGAUGAGCCUAGGUCGGAUUAGCUAGUUGGUGGGGUAAAGGCUCACCAAGGCGACGAUCCGUAACUGGUCUGAGAGGAUGAUCAGUCACACUGGAACUGAGACACGGUCCAGACUCCUACGGGAGGCAGCAGUGGGGAAUAUUGGACAAUGGGCGAAAGCCUGAUCCAGCCAUGCCGCGUGUGUGAAGAAGGUCUUCGGAUUGUAAAGCACUUUAAGUUGGGAGGAAGGGCAUUAACCUAAUACGUUAGUGUUUUGACGUUACCGACAGAAUAAGCACCGGCUAACUUCGUGCCAGCAGCCGCGGCAAUACGAAGGGUGCAAGCGUUAAUCGGAAUUACUGGGCGUAAAGCGCGCGUAGGUGGUUCAGCAAGUUGGAUGUGAAAGCCCCGGGCUCAACCUGGGAACUGCAUCCAAAACUACUGGGCUAGAGUACGGUAGAGGGUGGUGGAAUUUCCUGUGUAGCGGUGAAAUGCGUAGAUAUAGGAAGG